rnacentral:rRNA from 1 species
GAUGAACGCUGGCGGCGUGCCUAAUACAUGCAAGUCGAGCGAACAGAUGAGGAGCUUGCUCCUCUGACGUUAGCGGCGGACGGGUGAGUAACACGUGGAUAACCUACCUAUAAGACUGGGAUAACUUCGGGAAACCGGAGCUAAUACCGGAUAAUAUAUUGAACCGCAUGGUUCAAUAGUGAAAGACGGUUUUGCUGUCACUUAUAGAUGGAUCCGCGCCGCAUUAGCUAGUUGGUAAGGUAACGGCUUACCAAGGCAACGAUGCGUAGCCGACCCGAGAGGGUGAUCGGCCACACUGGAACUGAGACACGGUCCAGACUCCUACGGGAGGCAGCAGUAGGGAAUCUUCCGCAAUGGGCGAAAGCCUGACGGAGCAACGCCGCGUGAGUGAUGAAGGUCUUCGGAUCGUAAAACUCUGUUAUUAGGGGAGAACAAAUGUGUAAGUAACUAUGCACGUCUUGACGGUACCUAAUCAGAAAGCCACGGCUAACUACGUG